UUUGACCUACGGGACGUAGCAGUGGGGAAUAUUGCACAAUGGGGGAAACCCUGAUGCAGCGACGCCGCGUGAGUGAAGAAGUAUCUCGGUAUGUAAAGCUCUAUCAGCAGGGAAGAUAAUGACGGUACCUGACUAAGGAGCCCCGGCUAACUGCGUGCCAGCAGCCGCGGUAAUACGUAGGUGGCAAGCGUUAUCCGGAUUUACUGGGUGUAAAGGGCGUGUAGGCGGGAAAGCAAGGCAGAUGGUAAAACCAUGGGCUCAACCUGGGGCCUGCAUUUGAAACUGUUUUUCUUU
rnacentral:rRNA from 1 species